AUCUAAUGGGGUCUCUGGGUCUGCAAGCUGCUUGUUGGCGUAGUAAUUGGAUCAUAUAGUAGCAUCAUCUUCUGCCUCAGGCAGACGGGGCAGGGGUCAGAUGUGGGUUUCUGUUGCACCAGAUCGGUGGGGGUUAAGUGUUCAACCUUGAGUGGGUUGAGUGUUCAGACUUGAUGCAAACAGGUGAUAAAGGACCAGGCAGAGUGGGGUUUGAGUGUGUGGGUUAUCCUGCAGCUAACAUUCAUUCAGCCUGCCCUGCAGACAACUUAGUUCAGCCUGUCCUGCACCUAACACACCCAAAUAUGAUCCAUUUGUAAAUCCUCUGGGCCCUAACUUCACCAUUUCUAUUGCCUUCAUCCUGACCAGAGCUACUGACAUCUCUAGCCUGGAUUACAGCAAUACCCUUCAACCAAUCUCUCUCCUUUUGCCCUGCUCAAUCAAAUCUCAGCCAGAUGGCUCCUGUUAAAACCCAAGUCAUGUCAUUUCUCUGCUCAACCAAGUUCGAUGGAUUCCCUUCUGCUACGAGGUGAAAAUUGUGGCUUUGACUUAAAAAUUGGUUUUCCAAAAUCCUUCUGUUGAUUUAUAACCAUUUCAUGAUGUACUAUCAUUUACUUUCUCACCCUAUGCCCCUGAAAUUCUCCCUGUCCCUCACUGCUCUGCAGCAACAUUUUGUUCCUUGCUGAUACACCAACAAGAAGGCAUUCUCCAUCCAUGUUUUUUUUUUUUAUUGUUGUUGUUGUUUUGGUGGGGGCUGAGGGAGGUAGGGAUACCAGGGAUUGAAUUUAGAGGCACUCAAACACUGAGCCACAUCCCCAGCCCUAUUUUGUAUUUUAUUUAGAGAGAGGGACUCACUGAGGUGCUUAGCGCCUUGCUGUUGCUGAGGCUGGCUUUGAACUCGAGAUACUCCUGCCUCAGCCUACCGAACUGCUGGGAUUACAGGUAUGCACCACUGCACCUGGCCCCAUCCAUGUUUUUUAACUUCCAUUUCUCUGUACCUGGGAAGUUCUUCCUCCAAACAUCUGCAUGGCUUAUUUCCUCAAUUUCAACAGGUCUUCACUCAAAAGUCACCUGCUCAGUGAGGCCCUUCCUGGCCACCCUAUACAUAUCUGCAAACCCUCCUCAACAUCCAGAGGCUUUUAUCUCCUUUCUUGCUUUUUUAAUCUUUCUUCUUUACACAUCACUCUCUAAUAUACCUUUAUUUUAUUUUAUUUAUGAUCUUUCUCCCCAUUAGAAAUUUCCAUGCAGGCCGUGUUUUUUUUUGUGUGUGUAUUUUAUUUCCUGCUAUAUCCUCUAUACCUAGAACAUUGUCUGGCAUUGUUGAAUGAAUGAAUAAUUUCUAAAAGCCUUAUGCACAAGUGUGUGUGAGAGUAUACAGCAUCAGAAUUUUUAUACAGAACAGAUGGGAGAGAAAUUGGUACAAUCCCUGUGGAAAACCAUUUGACAUUCCUUAAUAGCAUUGAUCAUGUACAAGCCUACAACCCAAUGACUCUUCUCCUAAAUAUAUUCUCUGGAAAAACUGGCACAUGAAUAACGGCAACCAUGAGAAUGUCCAUUGCAGUGAUACCUGGGAAAAAAGGAAACAAACUUGGGAACAUUAACAUUAAAAUAACAACUGAAAGUAGACCAUUCAUGAAAUAUUAUGCAACAGGAAAAAGAAACUACAGCUAUAUUCAUCAAUCUGACCAAGAUCAUAAGGUUGAAUAAAGUUUCAAAAACAAUAAGCAUAAAGCGACUCCAUUCAUGCAAAGUUCAGAAACAUUUUUUAAACACUAAUUGUUUAGGGAUACUUAUAUAUGAUGGAUUUAUAAAGAAAAUCAUCAGGUUGAGGGAUGCACAAUUACAGGGUGAAGGGAGUGAAUGCAUUGAGAUUUCACUAGAGGAUUUGAGGGUCUGGGAAGCCUCUGUUCUUAGUCUGCUGACGGGCUUACGUGUUGAUUCUCUUCAGCAUCACUUUCACACCUUACACGUACAUUAUUAGUAUUUUACAAGUUAAACCAUAUGCAAAUGAUGUUGGGAAUCAUGUCAAACCAGCAAUUUUGUAGGAAAUUUAUUACUCUUUGCCCCAUCAAUGUUUUUAAAAUUUUAUUGGAUCUUAUAAAUUGCAAGAUAAUUUAUGCUCUUUGUAAUUAAUAAAAAUUAAAAUUUUUAUGAAGUAAAACUUAAAAUCAAUUGUAUCCCAGCACCCCUCCCCCAGAAGGAUCCAAUGUCAAAAUGGCAUGUCCUUUCACAUCUUUCUCCUUACUCCCAAUUAACUUUUUUUUUUUCUGUAAGUGGGAAAUAUACACAUGUAUGUAUGUAUAUGCACGUAGGUGUAUAAAACUCAGCAACUUGCUGGGCACAGUGGCACAGGUCUAUAAUCCCAACUGCUCGGGAGGCUAAGGCAAAAGAAUUGCAAGUUCAAGGACAGUCUGGGCAACUUAGAUCCUAUCUCAAAAAUAAAAUGGAGGUGGGUGCGGUGGUGUAGGCCUGUAAUCCCUGAGGCUCAGGAAAAUCACAAGUUCAAAGCCAGCCUCAACAACUUAGUAAGGCCCUAAACAACUUAGUGAGACCCUGUCUCAAAAUAAAUAAUAAAAAAGGGCUAGGGAUGCA
rnacentral:lncRNA from 1 species